AUUGAACGCUGGCGGCAGGCCUAACACAUGCAAGUCGAACGAGUGGCGGACGGGUGAGUAAUGUCUGGGAAACUGCCCGAUGGAGGGGGAUAACUACUGGAAACGGUAGCUAAUACCGCAUACCAUCGGAUGUGCCCCGAUGGGAUUAGCUUGUAGGUGAGGUAACGGAUCACCGAGGCGCCGAUCCCUAGCUGGUCUGAGAGGACGACCAGCGAGACGGGAACUGAGACACAGUCCAAAGUCCUACGGGAGGCAGCAGUGGGGAAUAUUGCACAAUGGGCGCAAGCCUGAUGGAGCCAUGGCGCGUGUAUGAAGAAGGCCGUCGGGUUGUAAAGUACUUUAAGCGGGGAGGCGUUACCCGAAGAAGAAGCACCGGCUAACUCCGUGCCAGCAGCCGCGGUAAUAC
rnacentral:rRNA from 1 species